GGAGUUAGCCGGUGCUUCUUCUGUGAGUGAUGUCCUUCCUGCCGGUUAUUGACCCGCAGGCCUUCUUCCUCACUGAAAGUGCUUUACAACCCGAAGGCCUUCUUCACACACGCGGCAUGGCUGGAUCAGGGUUGCCCCCAUUGUCCAAUAUUCCCCACUGCUGCCUCCCGUAGGAGUCUGGGCCGUGUCUCAGUCCCAGUGUGGCUGAUCAUCCUCUCAGACCAGCUACGGAUCGUCGCCUUGGUGAGCCGUUACCUCACCAACCAGCUAAUCCGACAUAGGCUCAUCCGAUAGCGCGAGGACCGAAGGUCCCCCGCUUUCCCCCGUAGGGCGUAUGCGGUAUUAGCCUGGGUUUCCCCAGGUUAUCCCCCACUACCGGGCAGAUUCCUAUGCAUUACUCACCCGUCCGCCGCUCGCCACCAGGGAGCAAGCUCCCCGUGCUGCCGCUCGACUUGCAUGUGUUAGGCCUGCCGCCAGCGUUCAAUCUGAGCCAGAAUCGAACCCUGA
rnacentral:rRNA from 1 species